UAAAUUUUAGUUUAGACAAAGGGGGUGCUGAUGCCACUACAGAUUCGAAUUGUCUCAACUAUCUACUUGUUAAAGGUAGCCUGGAUCCACAACAGAGAUGAAAAUCAAACUGAGAUUGUCCGAAAGAUGUCGUUCCUUGCUUCCUUGGACGAAGAUCUACUGGCUA